GAUGAAGAACGUAGCGAACUGCGAUAAGUAAUGUGAAUUGCAGAAUUCAGUGAAUCAUCGAGUCUUUGAACGCACAUUGCGCCCCCUGGCAUUCCGGGGGGCAUGCCUGUCCGAGCGUCAUUGCUGCCCUUCAAGCCCGGCUUGUGUGUUGGGUCGUCGUCCCCCCCGGGGGACGGGCCCGAAAGGCAGCGGCGGCACCGCGUCCGGUCCUCGAGCGUAUGGGGCUUUGUCACCCGCUCGAUUAGGGCCGGCCGGGCGCCAGCCGGCGUCUCCAACCUUCUAUUUUGCCAGGUUGACCUCGGAUCAGGUAGGGAUACCCGCUGAACUUAAGCAUAUCAAUAAGCGGAGGA
rnacentral:misc_RNA from 1 species